rnacentral:rRNA from 1 species
ACGACGCUGGCGGCAUGCCUAACACAUGCAAGGUCGAACGGGGGUAGCAAUACCCUAGUGGCGAACGGGUGAGUAACACAUAAGCAAUCUGCCCUUCACAGGGGGAUAACAGCGGGAAACUGCUGCUAAUACCGCAUAAGACCACGGUACCGCAUGGUACAGGGGGUAAAAACGAAUCAGUGGUGAAGGAUGAGCUUAUGUCCCAUUAGCUAGUUGGUGAGAUAACAGCCCACCAAGGCGACGAUGGGUAGCCGACCUGAGAGGGUGAUCGGCCACACUGGAACUGAGACACGGUCCAGACUCCUACGGGAGGCAGCAGUGGGGAAUAUUGGGCAAUGGAGGAAACUCCUUACCCAGCAAUGCCGCGUGAGUGAAGAAGGUCUUCGGAUUGUAAAGCUCUUUGAUUGGGGACGAAGAAAGUGACGGUACCCAAAGAACAAGCCCCGGCUAACUACGUGCCAGCAGCAGC